UAUGUAAUUUUACGUAAUUUAAUUUAAGUAAGGGAUAAAUAAAGCUGUUGUUGAUAAGUUCCUGCUUAUGGACAGGUAUAAAUACUACAGAACGAAUUUCCCUUUAUAUCGUCCAGGAUUAACUUUUGAUAGUCUGUUGUUUCGGAGCGUCCUCAAUAUUUUAACUCGUGAGAUUCAACAAGUAUGAGUACAAAAGUCCUUCAGAUAGCGGUGUUGACUGCAGCGACGCUUCUUCUCCUAAUCGCACUUCCAAUGGUGAAUUGCAGACGUCUUAAUGGACUCCGUAUUGGAGAACUAGACGAGGAUUUAAGCACUAAAGAUUAUGAUCAAGGAAAAAUAGACAACGGAAAGAAGCAUGCAAGGAAUGCAUAUUUCAGUGACCUACGAAAUAUUAAAAAGUAUCGUAAAAGAGACGUAUGCUCUCUUUUUUCAGAGGCGAUAAAAAAAAAUCAAUGCAAAGGAUGUAAUAUGAGAAAUUUCUGCCAUCAAGAGCUGCAUUGCCACUGUGAAGACCCAGGUAAUGCGUGUGGGAGAUGUGUACCGAACCCGCAAGCCUCUAUUAAGAACAGCCUCUAUAAGAUAAUGUGACAGUUUCAUUAAAAUAAAUGAAAUCUCUUCAUGCAUCGAGAAACAAGUAGCGAGUUUGAUUUGCUUUUGCAUUUAACUUUUCUCAUUUUUUCCAGCAGGUAGAACUAACUUAGGCCGGUUUCUGACUUAAAAUUAGCGGCUUAUUUCUUAAGUCACGUGACGGUCAGGGUAAUAUAAUUUCCCAUCGUGUUGUUGCUGUUUCAAUGUGGCUUUCACUCCUUUGACUAUAUGUUCUCCGGCUCAAAUAAAAUCUUUAGUUACCACAA